ensembl:lncRNA
AGUCACCUGGCAUCUGGAGCCCUGACACAUUCAGUCUCUUCCAUAGACUCUAAAGCCAGGUUUGAUGGGAGCUCCCACCUGUCCAGACAGUGUGCAAAGCACCAGAAGUAGAGGCCUACAAGCCUGCUUCUCUCCAUCUUCAUUGUCCAGAACCAGGCAGGUCAUCAGCUUCCUGUGCCCACCUCUGCCCUUCUUGCUGCCAGCACAGACUUGCAGAACUCAAGAUGAUCCAGUGGAGGUUUGCAGCUUGAAUGGCUGGAGGACAACCCAGGACACCCCAAAAAAGAUAUGGAAAUGGAGACUGAGAGAGGAGAAAUCAGUUCCUGGGUUUGGAGAGCUCCUGGGAACACAAGGAAAGGUAGGUAGAUAGGCAUCUAGGUAGAGUGUGGGGAGGAGUGUCAAGGGGAGAGGGUUGGCAGGAUUAUUAUUGGAGUCUCUUGUCUCUGGCCUCCAAGUCUUAGAAGCAACUUAGGGGAGUUAGGCAGGUGCAGUAUUGAGGGAACAUUUCUCUCGUACAGGUCCAGAGGUCAUUUCAUCCCUUCCCUUGCUCCUCAGCAGACAGAUCUCCAACAGUCUGUCACUCUCAUAGGAUUUUACUGUACUAUACUCUUAUACCCUGUAAAGUCCACAGGGAACAUACCAACUAUCCCAGUUCCUGAACCAAAAAAUAAAUCUCCCAAAGGUGACUAAAUAUUAAGGUGUUUUUUUUAGAUCUUAUCACUAAUUUCCUUGUCAGGGUAUCAACUACUAGACAAAAUUAUGCCCAGAAACAUAGAGAGUAGCCUUCUAUCUCCUGUCCCAUGUGUAGGCCUAAAACAGAGAGAGGAUUAAAACUCAAGGCUCUGGAAUCCAAGUCACAAAUGCCUCUGAAUUUCAUGCAGUAUCAUGGCCCAGAGCACUUAGUCAAGACCUGUCUGGCUUUGUGCGGUAUUGGUGCACAGGGCAGAGAAGGCAGGGCAUGUUUCCAACUGUCCACCAAACCCUGCUCCCUCCUUCCUUUACUGUUUAGACACUAGAGUUAAGGUAGGAAAGAAUGAAGGAGAAAAGGGUAUUCCCACGAGGUGGCCAGAAGUAGCAUUUCCCGGCAUCUUCUUCCUUCCUCAAAAUAAUCACGAUUCUUUGUUCUGUGCUUCAGGAGACUAAGUUGGAGUCAGGGCAAGGGUGGGAGAUCUUGGAAAGCAACAUUAGUAGAAACUUCAUCACACUCUUCAACGCCCCCCAGCACCUUUCCCCCACUCCCAGAAUUGUCUUCUCUAUCUUAGGGUCCAGAGUCCCUGAGGAAGAGCAGUCUCUAAGUGCCUCACACUCACGCCUUAUCUGUAGACCUUCAGGGUCAUCUCCUUGGUUCUCUGAUUCUCUGGCUUCUCUACAAACAAUAAGUGAGAAGGACCCUUUGCAUUCCCCCCCCCCCCCGAAAUAAUCCAUCUAGCUCUUCCUCUACUUCCAAGGCCUGUAGUAGUAAGAGCUGGGAGAACUGUGCCAGGAAUUGAAAAGGAUGAUUCUCUUGUCUGGGAAAGUCAGGGAGAAGACAGACAGGGGAAAUUUGGGAACUGAGGACUUUAGUCCCAUCUGUGGGGCUGGCUGCCUAACCUAGAGGGGUGGCAUCAUACUGAAUAUUAUUCAUGAGAUUAAUUAUUAGAGGCUCCUGUUUAUAGAACUGUUGUUUCUCUUUUGAAACACAGAGCAGUGGAGAACAGCAAAGGAGGAGGAGAAAGGGUGUCAGGCUUUCUGUAGGCCCUUUCUCAACCCUUGUGCAGCCUCGGUCCAACAUUAGAGGCAUAUUGGAGGGUCCAAAAGGCCCUGAAAGUAUUCAGUCUAGAUUCUGGAUGUUUCUCUAAGGAAUGAGGCUUCCAUCCCCACAGUCCCCAUCAGCCCUGCCUUAUACUCCCAAGGUGUAGGCAGGGGUGCCAGAUCUAUAGCCCCAGAGUCAGAGCCUGGAGACUGGAGGCCACAAGGAAUGCUGAGUCUUUGCUGGGAAAGAGGAGUAGACUUGAAGUAAGUGGGAGGCAGAGGUAACAGCAUCCAGAAUCUCCUGCACUUUGGAGAAAAAUGAGCUCAGUGUUAGCCCAGGGUUUAGCUUUUAUUCUGAUGGGACUCCGCCUUUCCUCCUUCUUCCUCAGUGUGUCCCAUGGGUUGGUAAGACAUCUCGAUGUCUGAACCUCCCACCUGACACCUUGAAGUUGUUAUAGCCCCUCUCUAGUUCCCAAAGCCAUGGAGGGCGGGGGGAGGAAGGCCUCUCAGAGGCAUCAGUACCCAGGGAGAGAGGCCAGGGGAAGAAAGAGUGACCAGAGAGGGAGCCAGGAGGAGAUGCCUGCUCUUGAAACAGCCUCCUUAUUCUAUCCUGUCCUGCACCCCCUCUCACAUGCUAACAAGGCACUGUGCCCAAGUGUGCCAGCUCUUCUGGAUGGUGAUCCUGCUCUGCUACGCAGGCAGCCCGGCUCUCUGCUCUAGCACAGAGCACAUGCUAGGGUCUCUCACAGUUCUUUGCUCGCUCACCUCAAUGUGUUUGUAUUACAGAUUCUAGGGAUGAAAGUGAAGGCUGUGCAUAGCAAUGGGGGCAGCUCAUGAAAACAACAGAGGGGAAGAGGCUUCAGGCUUAUUAGAGCUCUCUUUUGCCCCAAUUCUCUCCCACUCUGAGCUGUGUGGAUAAAGGUCUCUCAUCUGGAUUGUGGGGAAAGGAGAGGCCCCAGGUACUAAAGAAUGGAGGGAAAUGGGAGAGAAGAGAUCAAGGAAGGCUGAGCAUUCCCAGGAAGAGGCUUCCCAGUGAGGAGGGGAUAGGAGAGGCCAGGAUAGUAGGAUACUAUUGUGUCCUUUGGCUGCACAGAGGAUAUUGGGCAUUCACAUGUGUGGGCCGACACAGCCACUGCUCCCUGGAAGGAUUGCCACUUGGUCUCAGUUCUCUCUUCCCUGGAAACAGACACCAUAGAUCUUCAAAGGUGCUGAUUCCCUUUUCUCUUACAAGCCAGGUGGGCAAUGCAUCCUCUCCAUCCUUUCUGAAUCAGGGGGAUGAUAGGAUAUUGUGUUUGAGAUCACAUCAGCAGAAAAUGGCCAGAAGGUGGACCAGGGGAACCAUUCAUGCCUCUGACCACAGUCCCAGGGGCCUCCUUAUUUCAGCAAAGGGAAACAGAGAUCUUUGAUACUAGUGUAUCCAGAUAAUACUUUCCCUCUAACCUCAGUGACGGUUGAGCUAAGAGGAGAA